rnacentral:rRNA from 1 species
AUUGAACGCUGGCGGCAGGCCUAACACAUGCAAGUCGAGCGGAUGAAGGGAGCUUGCUCCUGGAUUCAGCGGCGGACGGGUGAGUAAUGCCUAGGAAUCUGCCUGGUAGUGGGGGAUAACGUCCGGAAACGGGCGCUAAUACCGCAUACGUCCUGAGGGAGAAAGUGGGGGAUCUUCGGACCUCACGCUAUCAGAUGACCCUAGGUCGGAUUAGCUAGUUGGUGGGGUAAAGGCCUACCAAGGCGACGAUCCGUAACUGGUCUGAGAGGAUGAUCAGUCACACUGGAACUGAGACACGGUCCAGACUCCUACGGGAGGCAGCAGUGGGGAAUAUUGGACAAUGGGCGAAAGCCUGAUCCAGCCAUGCCGCGUGUGUGAAGAAGGUCUUCGGAUUGUAAAGCACUUUAAGUUGGAAGGAAGGGCAGUAAGUUAAUACCUUGCUGUUUUGACGUUACCAACAGAAUAAGCACCGGCUAACUUCGUG